GAAUUUUUGAACACUGUGCAUAUGGGGAAGAUGCUUCAUUUCAAUGUCUUGAUUUUUUUUUAUCUUAAGGUGAUAUUAUGACAUUCAUUCAGUGUGAAUAUCGUGACUUCACACGUCGUCGCAGCGAUAGUGCGUGAAUAUUUUUGAACAUGUGUUCGUGCAACAUAUUUGAGACACAUCAUCUGUUGAAAUACAUUUGUUUGAGGCAUGUUUUAACAUGGAGGUUUGAGGUGGUUGUGUUCAUGUCAGAUGACAAGGGGAAAUGUAUUGAACAGUUU
rnacentral:misc_RNA from 1 species